UCUGAGGGGAAAGUCCUCGGGGAAUCGUGUGGCAUAAUCACAGAUCACAAGGAUAUACUGGUAACCAGCACUACUCUUCUCCAGGGGACCCACCACAUCCAUGGCUAUGCGCCGGAAAGGGCUACUGAUGACAGGAAAUGGAUGUAAUGGAACUGGCUUGGUUUUGGUGUGUGUGGUGACCUGACACUCUGGGCAUGUACUGCAGAAAUGUUUGACAUCAUUAAACAUUGCUGGCCAGUAAAAUCAUGCCCCCAACCUCAAGUAGGUUUUCUGCUGGCCUAGAUGGCCUGACCAAGGUAUUGUUUGGGCCAGGUAUUGGAUUACUUGAAUCACUUCCCAGGAGAUCGUUGCAAUCAAGAGGCAGAGACUGAGACAGAAACUGCAGAGGCAGUUGAAGAUGGAUUCUAUGUGGAUAGCUUGUUGAAGGUGGCAUCUUCAAAGACAGCUAAAAGGCACUUUGUUUCUGUACAAGAGCUGCGAGAGUUCUCGGCCAACAUCAUGAUGAUGUAUUUGAGGAAGGCAAAAGGGGAAGAAAAAGAAAUAGACAGAGAGGCAGAGUACAUCACUGGACUUAAUUGAAGAGGUGCUGAACAAGAACAUGGACGGGUAUUCACUGGUGACACACACCCUUGGUCCUGAAGUGUGUCAUGUUGUUUUUCAGAUUAUUAGAGAGUGUCUUUGUGCAAGAACCUUGGCUGUUAAGAAAUUAAUGACCAAUUAAACAUUGUGUUUUGUUAAA